GUGCUUGCUUCGGCAGCACAUAUCCUAAAAUUAGAACGAUACAGAGAAUAUUAGCAUGGCUCCUGUACAAAGAUGACCCGCAAAUCUGUGAAGCGUUCCACAUUUUA